rnacentral:rRNA from 1 species
UACGUAGGGUGCAAGCGUUGUCCGGAAUUAUUGGGCGUAAAGAGCGUGUAGGCGGCCCGGUUAGUCCGCUGUGAAAGUCCAGGGCUCAACCCUGGAAUGCCGGUGGAUACUGUCGGGCUAGAGUGCAGAAGGGGCAACUGGAAUUCCCAGUGUAGCGGUGAAAUGCGUAGAUAUUGGGAAGAACACCUGAGGCGAAGGCGGGUUGCUGGGCUGACACUGACGCUGAGGCGCGAAAGCCAGGGGAGCGAACGGG